GCUGAACUUAAGCAUAUCACUAAGCGGAGGAAAA
rnacentral:rRNA from 1 species